rnacentral:lncRNA from 1 species
GUGGAGUUUGGGGACAUGGCACGCCUGUGAGAGGCCAGGUGAAACUGCGUGCUCCACGGCAGUGCUCCCAAAAGCAGAGGCUGGGUCUCCCCUGCUCUGGGCUCAUAGCCCCCAGCCUCAGCUCUGGCUCUCUUGCUCUUCUCUUAUCUCAGAUCCCAAUGCCUCGGAUCUCUCCCAUGCCCUUCCAUGUGCUGCAAGGAAUCAGGAACAUCCUCAAACGUUACUCAGCAAGGCAAAUGACCUGCAGAAGGGCUGCGACACCCUGGCUAGCAAGCACACCUGGGUGGCAGUCCACCUGCUUUUAUCCCUGAUGCAGCCCUGGCUCUUGCCCUGAUAGGAGGGGCUUGGGGUCACAGUCCACGAGAUUGGCUAAUUUUAAAACUGGGGCGGGCAAAGGGAAGGGCUGUAGUUCAAGUGGCUACAAUUGGAUCUUACAUCCCAGUUAAGGCUAAAUGCUAUAUUCUGAAAAUGGACCACUGGCUUCUAUUUCUCACAAGUCCCCCUUUUUAUAUCUUUUGGUCUCAUUUUCAGUUUUGUUCUCGUAUCCUUUGGUACUGACAUCUGUCCUGAACGGGUUAACUUUUUGAGGAGGAAACUGCCCAUGGUAAUGAGUUCUGCCCUCUGGGCAGUUCAGAUAGCCGACCAGUGAUCAGGAGGCUUGCUGAGGUCCUUCCCAGCUCAGUUAAAGCUUGUCUUCUUUCCAGGUCUUGAUUAAAAUCAAGCUGCCAGGCUGGAAGUGACGAGUUGCAAACUCCAAAAGAGGACUCCGAGCAGCAGCUCAUAAUAAUCAUAUCAGCCAACGAAGCACAGAUAGGUCUCAAAUUGACUCAGAACAAACCGUGACUCUGACAGAGCUUUUGUGAUAUUCAUCAGGCCCUCCUGCAUAAACCCCUUC